UACGUAGGGGGCAAGCGUUGUCCGGAUUUAUUGGGCGUAAAGAGCGUGUAGGCGGUUUGGUAGGUCCGCUGUGAAAACUCGAGCUCAACCUCGAGACGCCGGUGGAAACCAUCAGACUAGAGUCCGGAAGAGGAGAGUGGAAUUCCGGGUGUAGCGGUGGAAUGCGUAGAGAUCCGGAAGAACACCGGUGGCGAAGGCGGCCUGCUGGGCAGUGGCUGACGCUGAGGCGCGACAGCGUGGGGAGCAAACAGG
rnacentral:rRNA from 1 species